rnacentral:rRNA from 1 species
GUUAUAUAGUCAAGUGAUUAAGCGUACACGGUGGAUGCCUUGGCAGCCAGAGGCGAUGAAGGACGUUGUAGCUUGCGAUAAGCUUCGGGGAGGUAGCAAACAACCUUUGAUCCGGAGAUUUCCGAAUGGGGAAACCCACCUGUCAUAAGGCAGGUAUCGCAUA